rnacentral:sRNA from 1 species
GCUGGGUGUGGUGGCACACACCUGUAAUCCCACCAACCCAGGAGGCUGAGGCAGGAGGAUCACAAAUUCAAAGCCAGUCUCAGCAAUUUAGCAAGGCUUGAAGCAAUUCAGAGAGGCCCUAAGCAAUUCGGCAAGACCCUGUCUCUG